GACGAACGCUGGCGGCGUGCCUAAUACAUGCAAGUAGGACGCACAGUCUAUACCGUAGCUUGCUACACCAUAGGCUGUGAGUUGCGAACGGGUGAGUAACGCGUAGGUAACCUGCCUAUUAGAGGGGGAUAACUAUUGGAAACGAUAGCUAAUACCGCAUAACAGUAUGUAACACAUGUUAGAUGCUUGAAAGAUGCAAUUGCAUCGCUAGUAGAUGGACCUGCGUUGUAUUAGCUAGUAGGUAGGGUAAUGGCCUACCUAGGCGACGAUACAUAGCCGACCUGGGAGGGUGAUCGGCCACACUGGGACUGGGACACGGCCCAGACUCCUACGGGAGGCAGCAGUAGGGGAUCUUCGGCAAUGGGGGGAACCCUGACCGAGCAACGCCGCGUGAGUGAAGAAGGUUUUCGGAUCGUAAAGCUCUGUUGUUAAGGAAGAACGAGUGUGAGAAUGGAAAGUUCAUACUGUGACGGUACUUAACCAGAAAGGGACGGCUAACUACGUG
rnacentral:rRNA from 1 species